UCUGAGGUUAUGCCGAGUGACAGUCUACAAGAGAGGCACGAGGCUGAAGGGACUGUGGGGGCCAGGCCUGCUGCUGCAGAUGUGCAACUCCAGGGAGACCAGCUGGCUAUAGUGCAGAGUUCCCUUUUUCUUAAUAUCUGUCAGGAAAGAGAGAAAAGAUAUUAAGUCAUACCCAAGGCCAGAGACAUUUUUACAGCCAUUUCUUCACCAACUGGAGGAAACAUGGCAUCUCCAUUUCUCCUUCCCUUUGAUUUAAUGACCUAUUUAUUUAUUACCUGUUUUCUGUAAGUACAUUUUUCUGAGGUAGGCUAAUUACCACAGCAGUUAUAGCUGAAUACAAAUAUGAAUUUUAUAUGUCAACAGUGUGUUUAUUAAUUUUUUUGUAUUAUUGUUUACAUAGAAGAAUGGAUUGCAUAGCUCUAAAAUUGUCUGAUCCUUCCAAAUAGUCUUCAUAUACUUUCAUGCUGUGUCUUCAAACAAAUUGUACAGUUGUUAUUUAUUCUUUUUAUUUGUAUUUUUCUGAUUGAAAAAAUGUAUUGUAUUUUUUCUUUAGAUUUUCUAAUCUGAACUGUGUUGGGUAGGGGAAAUGCUUGACUUCAGUUACUGGGUAAGUUGGUAGCAAACUGGGAUUGGAAGCAGAUAUUUCAGAUGGAAGAGCUGGCAUGCAGGGAUACAUUAACAGGCUGAAAAGAUCUGCAAACCAUACAAUGCAUGAUGUUAAACAAAGAGAAAUGCCAACCUGGGUUGAAAUAAUCCCAAGCAGCAGUAACAGCUGGGGGAUGGAUGUCUGGGAUGUAGAUAUUUUGGAAAAGACCUAGGGGGCUGUGAGGAGCAAGAUGAGCCUGGGUCAGCUGUGAACUCUUGCAGCAAACUCUGUGUUUGAUACAGGGAUCAGUAAGAAUAUAUGCAGCAGGUGAUAAAGUGUCAUUACUUAGGCCAGACAUGAAAUAGAGUGCUCAGUUUUGGUCCACCCUCCAUUCAAGAGACAAAAACCAGGGUCCCCAAGAUGGGCGAAGCACACAUAUGAGAAAAAUUUGAAAAGGUUGUGACCAUUCAGCCUAGGGAAGAGAAAACUCAGGAGGGGGAUCUAAUCACAGCCUUUCAAUACCUCAAAGGUAGCAACAAAGAAGGAGAAGCUACUUCCUGCACAAGGAAGCAUGGGACAAGAUGCUGUGGACACAGGGGCAAAUUCUGUCUAGGUACAUGAAAUAAACCUUCAUGGUGGGAACAAUUAAGCAUUGGAAUAAAUUACACAGAGAACUGGUGUAGUCUCCUUCACCAGAAAUACUUGU